rnacentral:rRNA from 1 species
CAGGCCUAACACAUGCAAGUCGAACGCCCCGCAAGGGGAGUGGCAGACGGGUGAGUAACACGUGGGAACGUGCCCUACGGUUCGGGAUAACUCUGGGAAACUAGAGCUAAUACCGGAUACGUGCGAGAGCAGAAAGAUUUAUCGCCGUAGGAUCGGCCCGCGUCUGAUUAGCUAGUUGGUGAGGUAAUGGCUCACCAAGGCGACGAUCAGUAGCUGGUCUGAGAGGAUGAUCAGCCACACUGGGACUGAGACACGGCCCAGACUCCUACGGGAGGCAGCAGUGGGGAAUAUUGGACAAUGGGCGAAAGCCUGAUCCAGCAAUGCCGCGUGAGUGAUGAAGGCCUUAGGGUUGUAAAGCUCUUUUACCCNGGGAUGAUAAUGACAGUACCGGGAGAAUAAGCCCCGGCUAACUCCGUGCCAGCAGCCGCGGUAAU